rnacentral:rRNA from 1 species
UACGUAGGGGGCAAGCGUUGUCCGGAAUCAUUGGGCGUAAAGCGCGUGUAGGCGGUUCGGUAAGUCCGCCGUGAAAGUCCAGGGCUCAACCCUGGGAUGCCGGGUGGAUACUGUCGGACUAGAGUACGGAAGAGGCGAGUGGAAUUCCCGGUGUAGCGGUGAAAUGCGCAGAUAUCAGGAAGAACACCCGUGGCGAAGGCGGCUCUCUGGGACGGUACUGACGCUGAGACGCGAAAGCGUGGGGAGCGAACAGG